rnacentral:SRP_RNA from 1 species
UGUUGGUCCCCUCGCAAUGAUUUUCUGCGAACCCCGCCAGGCCCGGAAGGGAGCAACGGUAGUGGUUAUAUCAUGUGCCGAGGUGUGGCUGGCAGGG